rnacentral:lncRNA from 1 species
CUCCAAAGGGGGCUGUCUCAAUGAAUCACAGUACAUCCCAACUCUGGAAUCAAUUUCAGCGGCUAGGAAGAGGGAGGCGGCCCUGGAUGUGUGGAAAGGGGUCCAGGGGCGACCGUAUCAGGAGGGGAGAACAGGAAGUGUGACACGAUGCUAUCUGUGCUGUGGCCAGGUGUAGGGUGGGCUGCCCUUCUUGGGGUCACUCUCUGUCCUUGGCCUCCCGGCAUCAGGCCUCCUGAGACCCCACGGAAGCGCUGGCACAGACCUUCAGGGAUGCCUGGCUGUGGGUCUUCCAGGUCUGAGUCCUGCACCCCAGGGCCCCAAAGAGUGAGGAGCUGGGGUCCCCCAGGGCUGGCCCCCUUCCUGCCAACUCUCCUCUGGCCAGGCCUGCCUGGCGGACGCCCCAGCCUUCGUUAGGCGAGAUAGGUCUGUAGGUAAAUAUUUAUCCCUGUGCAGCUGUGGGUGAGCAGGGGCCGCAGGUGCGGGCUAGAGUCCUGUUUACCCAGCGCUGAGUGGGCGCCGCCUGUUUGCUGAGCUGCCUGCCCAGCCUGGCUCGGGAGCUUGGGAGGGAGCUGGGGCAGUGGAGGAUGUGCCAGGAGCCGUGCGGGGCGGGGCGCCUCCCUGGCAGCCGAGCCCUGCGCAGCCUCAGUAUAGAAUCCACCUGGUCCCCAGGCUCGAGGAGACUGGCUUCUUCCCCCUCCUCUUGCAGCCUUCCCAUUCACUGCUCGCCAGUGCGUCCGUCUUCCCCAACUCUGCCCGGGGCUGACUCCUGCUCGUUCUGGGGUCUCCCUGACCACCUCCUAUCCUGGAGUGUAGGCGUCCUGUUAGCUGCUGCCCUGGCCCCACAGCUCAUCUCCCCAACACUUUCCUGGUUUGUCUUCUCUACUAGAGGCCAGAAGAACAGGGACAGAGGCAGUUUCGGGACCCACUGUUUCCGUAGCACCUCGCAUAGGGCCUGGCUCCUGGGACAUCAGCUCCAGGAGGUCAGGAAUGCCGUCUCUUUGGUUCACUGCUGUAUCUUCUAAGCCUAGGACAUGUAGCUUUAGGCUCCAUGAAAGCUUUUUGAAUGAAUGAAUGAAUGAACAAAUGAGUGACUGUGAUAUCACGGGUCUGAGAUGAUGCUGACUGCUGCUCCCCUGGGCCCAGCCUUCUCCUGUUUCCAAAGCCCUUACACAGCUGUGAGCUCCUUUGAUCUGCGCAUCAGCCUGGUGGGGAGCGCAGGACAGGGAUUAUCUGCCCUAAACCUGAUGAUGUACGGCACAAAAACAUCACGGUCACACGACAGAAACCAGGAUGAAGUGCCCGCAGGCUCAGGACUUCAAUAAAUACAUUAUUAAAAUUCGAUGUGCAGGAGUCGUGGCAACAAGGAGAGAGUGAGUUUGGAGGCAGGCCUUCCUCGCGUUCAAUUCCCCGCUCGGCUGUUUGCUUACU